ACGAGAACUAGUAAUAAUUGUCAUUUGCAUACGUUAC
rnacentral:misc_RNA from 1 species